UACGGAGGGGGCUAGCGUUGUUCGGAAUUACUGGGCGUAAAGCGCACGUAGGCGGCUUUGUAAGUUAGAGGUGAAAGCCCGGGGCUCAACUCCGGAAUUGCCUUUAAGACUGCAUCGCUAGAAUUGUGGAGAGGUAAGUGGAAUUCCGAGUGUAGAGGUGAAAUUCGUAGAUAUUCGGAAGAACACCAGUGGCGAAGGCGACUUACUGGACACAUAUUGACGCUGAGGUGCGAAAGCGUGGGGAGCAAACAGGGU
rnacentral:rRNA from 1 species